GAAUCAGUGACAUUCAGUUCGGAUGAAUGCAACGUGGACGUUAGGUCGCAUUUGAAUCAGAUAUGUAUCGGAUAUGGGUAGCAUUCAAAAAAGAAUCCCAGCUGUGCUGUUCACACUGCCAUGAAAAGAUCGGAUAAAGGUCGCAUUACAU